rnacentral:lncRNA from 1 species
GUGGUCAGUAGUUGACUCAAAAAGAGAGAAAGACAAUCGUUGAACCGUUUUGAAUAAAUAAAUAAAAAAUUAAAUUAAGGAGAAAUAAACGAGAGAAAGAGAGAGAGAUAGCUAUAUUUUGUUGUAUUUUUUCUUUUAACUUUCACUUAGCUAGCGAAUGCAGUUAGCUAGUUUGGCCUACUCAAAUACUUGGCUCAAACAGAAAGGGAUGCUAUGUUAGCUAGCUCGCUAUGGCUGUUCAACACUGAAACUCUUUCAAGUCAAGACUGGAAUGUCCAUUGUGCAACGUGUUCUGCAUUGGAUGGACAAAGAGACAUCUCCAGGAUCGCAUGGCUGAACAUAACUACCCCAUACAUACAAAGUGCGCAGUUGGGUGCCAGACUGAUCCCCUUGUCAUGAACGGAUGCCGGAACCUACCAGAAGUAGCAAAGGUUUUACGUACUAGCCAAGCUGCUGGGAGAGCGCAAUGGUUCUCUUUUGAUAAGAUCUCACAAGUAACCUCCUCCGUUGUUGCCAGAGUCUCCCUCGACUCCUGUGAAAAGGACACGCCAUCAUGAGGCGUCUGAUAGUGACUCGAGUUACUUCUCUUUUGACACAUACGGCUUAAUCAACAACGACAG